rnacentral:lncRNA from 1 species
ACAGGGACCCCACAGAAAUCCUACAGGGACCCACGGAGACCCUACAGAAAUCCUACAAGGAUCCACGGAGACCCCACAGAGACCCCACAGGGACCCCGCAGAAAUCCUACAAGGACCCACGGAGACCCCAUAGGGACCCCACAGGGACCCACAGAGACCCUAUAGAGACCCCACAAGGGCCCCAUAGAAAUCCUACAAGGACCCACAGAGACCCACUGGAAAUCCUACAGGGACCCACAGAGACCCCCUGGAAAAUCCCAAAAGGAUCCACGGAGACCCCAUGGAGACCCCACAGGGACCCACGGAGACACCACAGAAAUCCUGUAAGGAUCCACAGAGACCGCACGGAGACCCCAUAGAGACCCUACAAGGACCCAUGGAGACCCCAUAGAGACCCCACAGGGACCCCACAGAAAUCCUACAAGGACCCACGGAGAUCCCACAGGGUCUCCAUGGGUUCCCCACGGAAAUCCUACAAGGAUCCAGAGAGACCCCAUGGAAAUCCUAAAAGGACCCACGGAGACCCCAUAGAGACCCCACAAGGACCCACGGAGACCCCAUAGAGACCCCACAAGGGCCCACGGAGACCCCAUAGGGACCCCACGGUGACCCCACAGAAAUCCUACAGGGACCCACAGAGACCCCACAGGGAUCCCAAAGACCCCCCCAAGGACCCCCCUGAAGCCCCCCCCAGCCCUGCCCCACAGCGGGACACAGGGACCCCCCCAGCCCCCCA